GACGAACGCUGGCGGCGUGCUUAACACAUGCAAGUCGAACGGUAAGGCCCUUCGGGGUACACGAGUGGCGAACGGGUGAGUAACACGUGGGUGAUCUGCCCUGCACUUCGGGAUAAGCCUGGGAAACUGGGUCUAAUACCGGAUAGGACUCCGGACUGCAUGGUCUGGGGUGGAAAGCUUUUGCGGUGUGGGAUGGGCCCGCGGCCUAUCAGCUUGUUGGUGGGGUGAUGGCCUACCAAGGCGAUGACGGGUAGCCGGCCUGAGAGGGUGACCGGCCACACUGGGACUGAGACACGGCCCAGACUCCUACGGGAGGCAGCAGUGGGGAAUAUUGCACAAUGGGCGCAAGCCUGAUGCAGCGACGCCGCGUGAGGAAUGACGGCCUUCGGGUUGUAAACCUCUUUCAGCAUCGACGAAGCGAAAGUGACGGUAGGUGCAGAAGAAGGACCGGCCAACUACGUGCCAGCCGCCGCGGUAA
rnacentral:rRNA from 1 species